rnacentral:rRNA from 1 species
CGGCGGACGGGUGAGUAAUGUCUGGGAAACUGCCCGAUGGAGGGGGAUAACUACUGGAAACGGUAGCUAAUACCGCAUAACGUCGCAAGACCAAAGAGGGGACCUUAGGGCCUCUUGCCAUCGGAUGUGCCCAGAUGGGAUUAGCUAGUAGGUGGGUAACGGCUCACCUAGGCGACGAUCCCUAGCUGGUCUGAGAGGAUGACCAGCCACACUGGAACUGAGACACGGUCCAG